GUCGGUCAGUUUCAGUAAAGAUGGCGACCCCCAGUAGUCUGUCGUUAGAUGAGAUACGUAAAUAUUUAAUUGAAAGUGGAGGUUCUGCUCGCAAUCGUGAUCUAGUUAAACAUUUCAAGUAUUUUUUAACAGAUCCGGAAACGCGAGUCGAGGCGAGAAAUAAAUUCAAGGAAUACGUCAAUGCCUUGGCGACAAUUAAAAAUCAAGAGGGGGAAAAGUAUUUAGUACUUAAAAAAAAGUACAUACACAGUCUUGAUGAUUUAGUAACGUCGUAUCCCUAUGUGGCAUCAAGCACAUCAUUAGAAAGCCCUGAUUUUUUAACACCUACGUCGCCGCUUCGAGAUCCUCCGCCUUACCGUCCACCUCCUCCAGCUCCUCUAAGUCCGUCCAAUUCCGAAAUUAUCCCAUCUCCGUCUCACGUGUCGAGCACUCGAGCUGCUCAAGAUCAAUUAUACUCAAACUCUCCAACUCAUUCAGUUUUUAAUUCAAGUACCUCUAAUUUAAAUAUCACCAUCGAUGAUAGUACUAAUUAUCCUUCCAAUCAAAUUUUUGGCUCUAUUACAAAUAAUUCGAAUUUUGUGACACCGAAUCAACAAAGUCAACAAAAUAUAUCAGAAAUUAAUACGGACUAUACCUCUCCAAUCUCUCCAACCUCUCCAAUAAUAAAUUCACCUCCAGUUCCUCCGCGAAGAAAGAGCCAGGACAAAUUUAAGCUAGAAAAUAAAGAAAAUAUCAGCAAUAAAGGAAAAAAUGAACAGGAAAUUAUCAAGGAAGAUCAAGGACCACCAGAAAGUCUUGGAACAUCUGAGUUACCGAGUGUUAGAGAACGAAUGCAGCGUUUCAAUCGCAUGGCCAGUGAAACUGAUCUCCACGGUCGUCCGAACAGUGCAACAACUCCGACUAAGAAACGUUCUGACAAGGGUACCGAUGAGGAUGACAGUGCUUCCGUUGCAUCUCAACAAUUGGAUGGAAAAGCACGAGAAUGGUUAGUCCGAGCAGCUCAGGGUGACUAUCAAGCACUAGCCAAACUAGCAGCAGAGGAGCCACGUCUGACAAGGCAGAGGGAUCCAUCAUCUGGUUAUACUGCACUGCACUGGGCAGCUAAACACGGGGAUGAAAACAUUGUCAAGUUAAUUGCAGGAACUUACAAAGACUCUAUCAAAAGUGUUAAUGAGACAACGAAUGGGGGAUAUACCGCGUUACAUAUCGCAAUGCAGUUUGAUCACGAGAACAUCUUCAAUCUCCUUGUCCAGGUUUACGGUGCGAAUCAAGAGAUUCGUGAUCACAGUGGAAAAAAAGCUAGACAAUAUUUAGCGUCACAAGAAGCUGCGGUUAGCCAAGAUACUUUUCGCAGGAUUAUUGCGGCUGCUACACUCAGGCAAGUUAAGAAAAAAAGUCAACUAUCUGAUGCUAAUAUAGUAAAAAAUAAAAGCAAGGAAAAAGCACACAGAGAAAGAUCUUGGUUUUCUUCGCAUUGGAUCCCUGAACGUCCGCGUGAAACGCACAACGGAAGCAUUCAGCCAAUUUUUGGGUGUAGCAACUAACACGAAUAAUGAAAAAAUUCACAAAAGUUGGGGCUCAGCUGAUAAUAUUCAGGAACACAAAAUGAUGCCACCACCAAAGUACGCACCGAUAAAAAAGCGCAGAAGUAAAAGAGCUACCGACUUUUCAUCUCGUCAACAAGCCAUAAGUCAACCAAGUACACCGUUACCACAAAACAAGGAUGUUAUCACCAA
rnacentral:misc_RNA from 1 species